GACGAACGCCGGCGGCGUGCCUAAUACAUGCAAGUCGAACGCACGAAGUUGAAGAGCUUGCUCUUUAACCAAGUGAGUGGCGGACGGGUGAGUAACACGUGGGUAACCUGCCCAUUAGAGGGGGAUAACAUUCGGAAACGGAUGCUAAUACCGCAUAGUUUCAGGAAUCGCAUGAUUCUUGAAGGAAAGGUGGCUUCGGCUACCACUAAUGGAUGGACCCGCGGCGUAUUAGCUAGUUGGUGAGGUAAUGGCUCACCAAGGCAAUGAUACGUAGCCGACCUGAGAGGGUGAUCGGCCACACUGGGACUGAGACACGGCCCAGACUCCUACGGGAGGCAGCAGUAGGGAAUCUUCCGCAAUGGACGAAAGUCUGACGGAGCAACGCCGCGUGAGUGAAGAAGGUUUUCGGAUCGUAAAACUCUGUUGUUAAAGAAGAACAAGGAUGAGAGUAACUGCUCAUCCCCUGACGGUAUUUAACCAGAAAGCCACGGCUAACUACGUGCCAGCAGCCGCGGUAAUACGUAGGUGGCAAGCGUUGUCCGGAUUUAUUGGGCGUAAAGCGAGCGCAGGCGGUUCUUUAAGUCUGAUGUGAAAGCCCCCGGCUCAACCGGGGAGGGUCAUUGGAAACUGGAGAACUUGAGUGCAGAAGAGGAGAGUGGAAUUCCACGUGUAGCGGUGAAAUGCGUAGAUAUGUGGAGGAACACCAGUGGCGAAGGCGACUCUCUGGUCUGUAACUGACGCUGAGGCUCGAAAGCGUGGGGAGCAAACAGG
rnacentral:rRNA from 1 species